rnacentral:rRNA from 1 species
UAGAGUUUGAUUCUGGCUCAGAUUGAACGCUGGCGGCAGGCUUAACACAUGCAAGUCGAGCGGAGUGAUUGUGCUUGCACAAUCACUUAGCGGCGGACGGGUGAGUAAUGCUUAGGAAUCUGCCAUUUAGUGGGGGACAACAUUCCGAAAGGAAUGCUAAUACCGCAUACGUCCUACGGGAGAAAGCAGGGGAUCUUCGGACCUUGCGCUAAAUGAUGAGCCUAAGUCGGAUUAGCUAGUUGGUGGGGUAAAGGCCUACCAAGGCGACGAUCUGUAGCGGGUCUGAGAGGAUGAUCCGCCACACUGGGACUGAGACACGGCCCAGACUCCUACGGGAGGCAGCAGUGGGGAAUAUUGGACAAUGGGCGGAAGCCUGAUCCAGCCAUGCCGCGUGUGUGAAGAAGGCCUUUUGGUUGUAAAGCACUUUAAGCGAGGAGGAGGCUACCUAGAUUAAUACUCUAGGAUAGUGGACGUUACUCGCAGAAUAAGCACCGGCUAACUCUGUGCCAGCCGCCGCGGUAAUAC